UCCUAUGCACAGGGACUAAAUAUCCUAAAAGGACCCGGUGUCAUCUGAUCUUGGAAGCUAAGCAACAUCAGACAUGGUUAGUACUUUAAUGGGGGACUAUCAAUGAAUAUCAAGUGCUAUAGGAU
rnacentral:rRNA from 11 species